rnacentral:rRNA from 1 species
GAGUUUGAUCCUGGCUCAGAACGAAUGCUGGCGGCGUGGAUUAGGCAUGCAGGUCGAACGAGAAAGGAAUCUUCGGAUUCCGAGUAUAGUGGCGAAAGGGUGAGUAAACUAUAAACAAUCUACCUUCAAGAUCGGGACAACAGUUGGAAACGACUGCUAAUACCGAAUGAUAUAACAAUUCGCAUGUUUUGUUAUCAAACAUCGAGGAUCCUUCGGGACUUUUUGCUUGAAGAGGAGUUUAUGGCCUAUUAGCUAGUUGGUGAGGUAACGGCUCACCAAGGCAAUGAUGGGUAGCCGGUCUUAGAGGACGAUCGGUCACACCGGAACUGAGACACUGUCCGGACACCUACAGGUGGCUGCAGUCGAGAAUCUUCCGCAAUGGGCGAAAGCCUGACGGAGCGACGCCGCGUGCAGGAUGAAGGCCUUAGGGUUGUAAACUGCUGUCAGAAAGAGAGAAAUGUUAUUGUGUUAAUACCAUAGUAAUUUGACAAUCUUUCAGAGGAAGCCCUGGCUAAAUUCGUGCCAGCAGCCGCGGUAAUACGAAUGGGGCAAGCAUUGUUCGGAUUUACUGGGUUUAAAGGGUAUGUAGGCGGUUUUUCAAGUCUGUUUGUGAAAGCCUGGGGCUCAACCCCAGAAUAGCAUCGGAAACUGGAUCACUUGAGUAUGUAGGAGGAGAGAGGAAUUCUAGGUGUAGCGGUGAAAUGCGUAGAGAUCUAGGAGAAGACCAGANGCGAAAGCGUCUCUCUAUUACNAUACUGACNCUGA